UACCCAGAGUGGCUGGCCUCAC
rnacentral:piRNA from 1 species